rnacentral:rRNA from 1 species
UCUGCCCGAUAGUGGGGGAUAACCUGGGGAAACCCAGGCUAAUACCGCAUACGUCCUACGGGAGAAAGGGGGCUCCGGCUCCCGCUAUUGGAUGAGCCUAUGUCGGAUUAGCUAGUUGGUGAGGUAAAGGCUCACCAAGGCGACGAUCCGUAGCUGGUCUGAGAGGAUGAUCAUCCACAUCGGGACUGAGACACGGCCCGAACUCCUACGGGAGGCAGCAGUGGGGAAUAUUGGUCAAUGGGCGAAAGCCUGAUCCAGCCAUGC